UAGACGGACUCCAAAGUUCCCGACGAACAGUGCGCUUUUGAAAAGAGCCUGACCACGCUGUUGGCCAUGCUCGGAGGCGCCACGCUGAUCUACGGCG
rnacentral:ncRNA from 1 species